CUAGCCGUAAACGGUGGAUACUGGGUAUUGGGGGUGAUAAAACCUUCAGUGCCGAAGCUAACGCGUUAAGUAUCCCGCCUGGGAACUACGAUCGCAAGGUUAAAACUCAAAGGAAUUGACGGGGGCCCGCACAAGCAGCGGAGCGUGUGGUUUAAUUCGAUGCGACACGAAGAACCUUACCUGGGCUUGACAUGGAUGUGGUAGGGAAGGGAAACCGGACCGACCCUUCGGGGAGCAUUCACAGGUGC
rnacentral:rRNA from 1 species